AUGGCCAAACCUACCAAGAAAGUCGGGAUCGUCGGUAAAUACGGGACCCGCUAUGGGGCCUCCCUCUGGAAAAUGGUGAAGAAAGUUGAAAUCAGCCAGCAGGCCAAGUACACUUGCUCUUUCUGUGGCAAAACCAAGAUGAAGAGAUGAGCUGCGGGGAUCUGGCACUGUGGUUCCCGCGUGAAGACAGUGGCUGGCGGUGCCUGGACAUACAAUACCACCUCCGCUAUCACGGUAAAGUCCGCCAUCAGAAGCCUGAAGGAGUUGAAAGACCAGUAG
rnacentral:lncRNA from 1 species